rnacentral:lncRNA from 1 species
CCAGGGCUGAGGCUAUGGUGUGCUCAUUUGCAGGUUCAUAUCGCCCUCUGGUGGGCAAGAAGUGAAACAUUCCAGCACAGAAUUAAAUAAGAACCUGGAGGUGAGCCACCUCUGUGUCCACAGGGUUCUGUGCCCUCUGCUCUCUACACUGAUGUUCUGCAGCUCCAUGAAGACAGGUAACAUCAGAGACCAGAAUCUCUUGAACAUCUUCAACUGCAUGCUGUGGCUGGAAGAAAUUUUAUACGUCAACACUUGUGAGGUGGCACUUGUCACUUUCUCUUCUCAGCUGAGAGGAAGACAGCAGGAUGGUCAUAUCCCUCACAUAGGUUGACCUGCAGGCCACCUCCCUAUCUGUGCAUCUGUGCUGUCUUAGGAGGGCAGGCCCUGGGCACCAUUACCCCUCACAGAGUGAGGCUUCCAUGAUGGAUCCUUGUGCCUACUCCACAGACACCCAGGGCUGUAACUCUACUCUAUUUUGUCCAACUGUAGAAGACAUCUGAUUUUCCUGGGCUCACAAGGAGGCUCCUCCCUCCCUCACUCUCCCUACCCAGCAGUCACCAAGGAACAAGUGGGGAUAUUGUGAUGACCCAGACAACUCUCUCUGUGCCCAUCAACCCUGGGCAGCCAGCCUCCAUCUCCUGCAGGUCCAGUCAGAGCCUCCUACACAGAAAUGGAACUAGCAGAAAUACGGUGAGGAUGCAGUUUCCACCCUCCCUGCCUGACACCCUUGACUCCCUGCCUUCAUCUUGGGAGGGAUCAGAGUUGAAAAAGUCACUCAUAUGUCACCAAGAGGGUGGAAGUUUUUGCUGUGGUGAUGAACGUGAUUCCUGGAUGAUAGAUCUCCUGGUGAAUAAUGGAAAAAGUCAUUCCUCUGGCUGUGGGAAUGGAAACCAAUGAUUCUGCCCAGGAGGCACCUGCUCCACCACUGACCAACAUCCCCCAACAUGCUCAAGACCAACCCUGAGCCAAGGCCACACAGGAAGCCACAGCCUGAUUCCUCACUCACAGAAAGGCAGAGUGGUGGGGAGGGUAAUAUGCUAAUAGCUUAGCUUCUGGGUUGGGGCAAUAUUUUACACAAAAUAAUCCAAUGUAUGUAGACAAACAGUAAUAAGUUAAAAAAAGUGAUGGCAAAGCUGUAUUGUCUGUUGUUCACACAAAGUAAUGUUGUUUCACUGGGUUACGAAAACAUGCAUGUACCUGACAUAAUGUUAGCAUCACAGAAAGAAGGUCUAGAGAAGUGUUGAGUAGUUCCUGAAUUGUCCAUGAAGUGUAAGAGUGCUAAUGAGCUGACUUAUCUCUGUAAAAAUAAAGAGUGUCUUCUGUUUUUCUCUUUCAUGGUUUUCCUUGUU